rnacentral:rRNA from 1 species
GAGGAAUAUUGGACAAUGGGCGCAAGCCUGAUCCAGCCAUGCCGCGUGCAGGAUGAAGGCCUUCGGGUUGUAAACUGCUUUUGUACGGAGCGAAAAGGUCUGCCCUAAUACGGUGGGCUCAUGACGGUACCGUAAGAAUAAGCACCGGCUAACUACGUGCCAGCAGCCGCGGUAAUACGUAGGGUGCGAGCGUUAAUCGGAAUCACUGGGCGUAAAGCGUGCGCAGGCGGUUAUAUAAGACAGAUGUGAAAUCCCCGGGCUCAACCUGGGACCUGCAUUUGUGACUGUAGAGCUAGAGUACGGUAGAGGGGGAUGGAAUUCCGCGUGUAGCAGUGAAAUGCGUAGAUAUGCGGAGAGACACCGAUGGCGAAGGCAAUCCCCUGGGCCUGUACUGACGCUCAUGCACGAGAGCGUGGGGAGCAAACA